rnacentral:rRNA from 1 species
GGAGGGUGCAAGCGUUAUUCGGAAUCACUGGGCGUAAAGAGCGCGUAGGCGGUUUCUAAAGUCAGAUGUGAAAGCCCGGGGCUCAACCCCGGAAGUGCAUUUGAAACGUUAGGGACUUGAGUAUGGGAGAGGGAAGUGGAAUUCCUGGUGUAGCGGUGAAAUGCGUAGAUAUCAGGAGGAACACCGGUGGCGAAGGCGACUUCCUGGACCAAUACUGACGCUGAGGCGCGAAGGCGUGGGGAGCAAACAGGAUUAGAUACCCUGGUAGUCCACGCAGUAAACGUUGAACACUAGGUGUAGCGGGUAUUGACCCCCUGCUGUGCCGCAGCUAACGCAUUAAGUGUUCCGCCUGGGGAGUACGGCCCGCAAGGCUAA